rnacentral:rRNA from 1 species
GAUGGAAAGCACUUUGAAAAGAGGGUGAAAAGCACCUGAAACCGCCAUGGGGGAAGCGGAUUGCAUCAGUGUUUGCUUGUAUCUGUUCAGCUAUCAAUUUGGUAGUGUAUUCAGUACUUGCUGUGUUGGCAUGGCUGCUUUGGCUUUGGAUUAUGCAAGGCUAAGUGGUGAGGGCUCCUUUCUAGUUGAGGAUGUCAACAAAAUGAUGCGACCCGACCCGUCUUGAAACACGGACCAAGGAGUCUAGCACGACUGCAAGUCGAAGGGUUUAAAAACUCAGGGGCGAAGUGAAAGCGAAUAUUAGGAAAUCGGAUACAGAUUAGGGAGGUGUUGCGACUUUGUCAAAAUAUCCUACCCAGAGCAGUUGUGCUGGGACCCGAAAGAUGGUGAACUAUGCCGGAAUAGGGCAAAGCCAGAGGAAACUCUGGUGGAGGCUCGUAGCGAUGCUGACGUGCAAAUCGCUCGUCGAAUUUGGGUAUAGGGGCGAAAGACUAAUCGAACCAUCUAGUAGCUGGUUCCCUCCGAAGUUUCUCUCAGGAUAGCGGGCCGACGAUGUGAGUUGUUUUGUGU